AGGAAUUGUAAUUGAAAAACAAUUCCUUCCAGUUGUUCUUUUUUUUUUUUUUUUUAAUAAAUCUCAAUAAUUCUUACGAGAAGCAUAAUACUGCCACGAGCUUUCUCCUAUAGCCGAAAUUAAAAUUUCCUCCAUUUUACUUUAUAAAAAUGCUUCUUCCUGAUUAGUCAAAGUAGAACAAUGAAGAAUAAAUCUUGAAUCUUAGUCAAGAUCAGAACAACUAGAAACAAGUUAGAAAUUUAAAAAAUUAGAAAACUAGUUAGAAACAAGUGUGAACAUAUAAGCGAUCUUGAUGAAGUGACAGAGAUUGAGUCUUUGGUUAUUGUCGUUGGCACUGUGAAAGGAGCUUAAGAAUGAUAUUUUUUGAUUGUAUUUGUUUUUUUUUAUUCAUGAUAAAGCAUUUAAUAGCACAUAAUGUUCAUAGUUUAACCGUUAUGAUUAUUGUUUUCUUACAAAAAAUACUUCACAAAAUUAUUAAACGAUGGCAGGUUUGGCAAAAUUUUAUUGAGGGACAUUUUAUUUUUAGUUUUUAUGACUUAUUAAAUAGUAAGACUAUUCCAGGAUCCAUCACAGUCUGCUAACAAUAUGAUUGGAUCAGCCAGCAGAUGGGAAUCAAUGGGCUGGGCCUAAUUUCUCUUAAAAAACAGUAAGGAACCUGAAAUUGAACUAGGAUCCUCCAGUUGUAAACAACAGCUUUACACAAAAUAUAUAGAGAUGGAAGUAUACAAUGUAAAAAAUGUAAAAACAACAAGCACUAAACGGCAGUUGAGCAAAUCAAUAAACAAUUUUAUUCACCAC
rnacentral:lncRNA from 1 species